rnacentral:rRNA from 1 species
AUUGAACGCUGGCGGCAUGCCUAACACAUGCAAGUCGAACGGCAGCACGGUCUAGCUUGCUAGAUGGGUGGCGAGUGGCGCACGGGUGAGUAACGCGUAGGAAUAUGCCUUGAAGUGGGGGAUAACUUGGGGAAACUCAAGCUAAUACCGCAUAAGCUCUUAGGAGGAAAGCUGGGGACCGUAAGGCCUGGCGCUUCAAGAUUAGCCUGCGUCCGAUUAGCUAGUUGGUGGGGUAAGGGCCUACCAAGGCGACGAUCGGUAGCUGGUCUGAGAGGAUGGCCAGCCACACUGGGACUGAGACACGGCCCAGACUCCUACGGGAGGCAGCAGUGGGGAAUAUUGGACAAUGGGGGCAACCCUGAUCCAGCAAUGCCGCGUGUGUGAAGAAGGCCUGAGGGUUGUAAAGCACUUUCAGUGGGGAGGAGGAUUGACAGGUUAAGAGCUAGUUAAUUGGACGUUACCCACAGAAGAAGCACCGGCUAACUCCGUGCCAGCAGCCGCCGCCG